CUAAUUGGUUGCCAUGGGCAACUCAGCAACUAUUCUUCUGGACAAGUUUCGAUUAAUCUCCCCCAUUAUGCUUUGAAGCUUCCUAUGUAGCAAGAAGAGGGGAGUGGCCAAGAUGGUUGUAUAAAGCUCUAAAUUACUCAGUGCAGGAGGAGGUUUGUGACAUUACGGGCAGAUAUUUAGCAUAAGUUAUGGAAAAAUGAAAAGGUGUCAUUACAAAGUAUACUUCCCUGCAAAAAACAAGCCUUGAAGUGUAGAAGUUUGGCCAGAAAGAGACUAGGAGGACCCCCAGGGGGAGGAGGCCUAGCUGGGACUCUAUGAGCCCGCUCAAUGGAGAAAUAAGGAGAGAAGGUGUCCGCCGGAAGAAUCUCCUUCAGCCAUGUUUCAAAGAAUAACAUGAUUAUACCCUUCCACCUUUUCAGGAAGGCCCACAACACGAAUAUUAUUGCCCCUCAA